UGGGAAGUCCAAGGCCAAGGUCCCGACA
rnacentral:piRNA from 1 species